rnacentral:misc_RNA from 1 species
UUUCCGUAGGUGAACCUGCGGGAGGAUCAUUAAUGAGUUGUCAUGGGGUUCGAUGCUGGCAGCCAGUUUUUGGAUGCAUGUGCUUGCCCUAACAAUCAUCUUCUUCCAGACACCUGUGCACAUUUUUGAGGGAGUCUUGAGUUGGUUGCCGCUCUUGGGUGAUUUUCUCACAUUCCCUUAAAUCAUUAUACGCUAUUAACAAUGUUGAACGUGCUCUGUGCCGCAAGGCCAUUAAUAUAAUACAACUUUUAACAACGGAUCUCUUGGCUCUC